CUGGCAGUAGUGCUCUUUUAUUUAGAGAAUAGUAUGGAAUAGCAUGGGGACAGGACCCAUGGGCAGUAAAGAGCUGCUGCAUGGGGACAGGACCCACGGGCAAGAGGAGCUCCUGCUGCCGCUGGCAUGGGAACAGGACUCAUGGGCAGUCAGAACUGCUGCUGCAAUGUGUUGAGGGUUAGGGCUAAAUUUCUAAGGCAUGGGUACGUGACUUAUUUUUACUGGAAAAAGAAAAAAUGGUGUAAAAAGUCAUUAAAUGGUUUCAGUGCAGAUGGGGUCUGGUUAUUGUGUGGUCGUAUAACUUUAGAUAUGAAUCUGGUCAAAUAGAUCGGCAUGUAAGCCAGCAUGCCCUGGGCUUCUCUCCCUGGGGCAGCCUUGAUCCACAUCACUACGACCAAAAUUGGGUUAAGAAAGAAAAAGCGAAUAUAAGUAACCAGCAGUCUGUCACACUCAUCAUUUCAUGUUUGCCCAAAGUCACUCUUAUCUUUAAAUCUUCUCCCCAAAACUUUCAUUCUUAGUCCAAUAAAUUUUCUUGUCCUUUAAAAGAGAAUGGUUGAUAUUUACGUUCUCUGUAAUUUCCUAUUGUGAGACUGGGACCAAGAACAAGCUGACCCGAGCAGGAACUUUCUGCAACAGUAGAAUCAUAGGUGGACACAAGGAGAAGGUCCCCGUGGGAUGCUGACCGGGUCCCUGAGUUUGGAGAUGUCUGUGAAUAUGGAGACAUCCUAGAGAACCAUUAGGGACCCCAUCUCACAAAUGUGAUGAAUAGGGGAAAAAUUUGCGAUUCUGUUGACAUUCUUUAGAAGUGAGAAAACCCAAAAAUAAGAUAAGUGUGGCCAAAUCUUAGAAUUGAGAAUUUAUUCAGUAUUACAGUAUUCAUAUCGGAGAGAACAUCUUUGUUAUGAAUACAGGCAGCUUUCCUCGGGGCUCCCAUCCUACUGAACAUUGUAACAUUCAUCUUGGAGAGAAUCCCCGUUUGCGGGAGGCAUCUGCCAGCAUCCCAGCACCACAUGGCAGCAGCUAAUUCACAUGCAAUAGGAACUCUACAAAUGCAAUAAAUGUGAGGGCUUUCAGCAAAGUAAAGCUCAUUCAACGUCAGAGAAUUCACACUGGAGAAAAACCAUAUGCACGUAAUGGAUGUAAAAAUGCUUUCAGACGGUGCUCAGAGCUAAUUAGACAUCUGGGAUUUCAGAGCAGAGAGGAGCCCUGUGAGCACAAUGGGUGAGAAGGAACCUUCAGUCAGUGUCCCACCCGCAGACAACGUCAGCUAAUUUGCUCCGGACUCAGCCGGUCAUUUGUGAUGAAGCUGGAGAAUCAUCUAGAGGAAGUGUGGAGGGUCAUCCAGCCUGGAGAGAAGCCUGGGAGCAUAAUCACUGUGGAAAAUCACGUGGGGCUGGUGUAGCUCUUUCUCAUCAUGGGAGGACUCACAGGAAAGAAAGACUCUCGUGUUGUCAAGAUUGCGGGCGAUUAUUUAGUCAGUAAUCAGGCUAAUUCACACUGGAGAAAAAGCUUGCUUGUCAAGAAUGAGGAAAAGCCUUCAGUUUCUUCCUUGCUGGAUUUCAGAGAAUCCUUAGUGAUAUAGGGGGAAACUUCACGGGGGACUUAGGGCUUAUUAAGUUUCACAUUAAAGCAUCAAUCCUAUCAAACUAAGGAUUUCAACUUUUUGCUUUCUCCAUCCCAACCAAAGCGUUCGUUCCUUUCUCUGAUUAUCUCACGGGAUUUUUUUGGUCUUUAAUGACUUAUCUUCCUAAUAUUAUCACUGCUUUUAUAAGCUUAACUUUUACUUCUACUAGGUAUUCAUUCAGUACAUUUCUGCUGAAUGAAUUAAGUAAUGUAGUAGGUAAAAGGGUUGGCCUGGUCUUGACCUCUGGGGCAGGACUCCAGAAGACACGCGGGCUCUGUAUCCAUAAGAUACGCAUAAGGACUGUGCUGAGGCCUGAGGCUUAGUGGCAGAAUCUGAGGCAGCAAAUUCUAAUAUCAUCGCAACACAUCCAUGUUUGGGCCCCAUUAAUGUGAUGAACUUCUACGGGCCCCAUCUCUAUACCGCUGAAGAUUAUCUCGAGAUGGGAACCGGGUGGGUGACUUUUCCAGAGUUCUGAAGGGAAUGGAGUAAUCUGUCUUUGUGGGGUACCUGAGGAGGAUGCCAGUUUAUCUCUGGUACGUAUCUAAAGCUAGAAACUGAAAGAGGGAGGGCUAGCAUUCUUGAGUUCAACUUCUCAUUUCAUGAGGGAAGGAUCAGGUACAUUUUUUUGUGCUGAAGAAACACAAAAACCACACUGCCUGAUGAAAGGUGGGUCAGAAGAAAGCUUCCUCUGCUCCUUGUCAACCGACUGCGUUCUCUCCUCCAACCUAACCGCCAUGCCCAGGCUAGGAUUCAGUCUUCCCAAGACAUCCUUGCCUCCCGCGACAUCCACUCUCCCAUUGAGGUGGAAGGGAUCCUGGCUCCUGGCUUUGCUUCGAGAAGACAGGAAGAAAUGGCAGAAAAAAAAGGGGGUGGUGGAAGAGAGACAAAGAACGAAGAGCGUGGGCGUGCCCACACACAGGACGGCCACAAUUCAGGGCACCUCAUUCCUAAAAGGAUCUACAGUGUCACUCAGGCUGGCUGGGGAGUAACUAAAAGGCCUCAUUUUCCACCGGUUUCACUCUAGCUGCCAUAAACUCCUUCCAGCUGGUACUUGGAGCUCAUAAACUCCUGCUGUGCUCACUGGCCUCCUUCUGCACGAGUCAUCCAACCCGCCCACCACCUGCCCAUUCCAGGCAGCCACUGCGGCUCCUUCCGCAUGCUUUCCAUGGCUUUCUGGCCUGUACUUACGUUCUGCAUCUCAGACAUUAAUCCUUGAGCCCAAUACACAAACUGAUCUUCUUUCUAAAGUUCAUCAUGAAGCCCCAUUUUAGAAGACUCAUGCAUCUAGAACUUUCCUUAACCUACCUUUCUUUCCUUGUCUGUGUCCUGUAGGGGCCAGGGGUCAGGGCUAAGUGCCAGAAUUGCUCUGUCGGCUGUGAGCAAUCUUGACUUUUAUUUCCUACCAUAUGAGUAAGAUUUCCAAAGUCUGAACUUGGGCUGACUUUCUAUUUGGAGCUACACCAAGAACCACGGGGCUCGAAGGAGUUGUUCAGAGUUAGAGGAUGAAGAGGUCAGAGGAGUGCUAUACUGGUUAAGACUGCCUUAGGCUGCAUGUAGCAGAAAUCUGCUUGCAAAAUAAAGACAUUUAACGAAUAUAUCAAUAAGAAUGGAAAUAGGGGUUCCAGGACAGGUGGAGUGGCUCAACAAUACCAUCAAGGACCCAGGCUCUUUUUGUCUGUCUGCUCAGCCAACCUCGGUAUGUUGGUUUUUCCCUUGGUCUUGUUGCCUCCUGGUCUCAAAAUGGCUGCUGCAGCUCCAAGUAUCAUGCCCUUAAACAUCCACGUUCAAAGCAGGAAGAACGGACAGGCCUCUUCACUCUCUCUCUUUUAAUCAAAAAGCAAAAUUCUUACUAGAAGGUCCCCCAGCCAUUCCUUCAUAAGUUUUAUUGGCAGAAUGAAGUCACAUGCCCACCAGCAAGCCAACUGACACCAAAGUAAAGAGCUUGCUGCAAUGACACACACAGGCGAGGCUGGACCUAGUGAGCUGUGGGGCACAAGGGUGCCUCCCGGGCGGACUGCCCUCUCUGCCUCUCACAGAGUCCCAGCUCUGCCCUCGUCAUUCCCUCCUCUAUCCUCUUGCCAAAAUCAGGCUCACUGGUCCCUCCCCGGUAAGGGUAUCCUCUCCAAGUCAGAGCUUGUUUUUGUUUUUCUUCAACCUCUAACUUUCUUCUUCAUUUAAUCUUCUUUUAAUCCUGGCCAGCACACUGGUCCAGCCAGGCCCUACUUGCCCUCGUGACAUCUUGUCACACACUGCCUAUCCUCUCUGAUUUUUUGAUUCAAACUUCCCAAAAGGGACUCUGGCUGGUCUGACUGGCUUUUCCUUGUAUUUUCGAGUCAGGUGACUUCCAAAAUCGUUGGCCAGCCUGUAACGGAUCCUGGUCCAAUGACUGGUGUGGGGGUGGGGGGGAAGGGGCAAAGAGCAGGGUCGCGUGGUACAACACAGCCAUGGCCACGGCGGCUGAACGAGACAGCUCCCCACACACGGGCUGUGGGCUGGGACAGGUGCAGAGGAGAGGAGAGAAGAGCAUGGAUAGGGGGUUUGUGGAGCCCAGAGCAACAAUAUAAGAUUAGGCUACUCUGUGGAGAGGGGCUUCACGGGAGCACGCAGAGGCAGCAGAGACAUGAAAGCAAAAGCUAUUUUGGACAUUUCAGCCCCACUUCAGUGACCGCCUCAUGGACAACUGGGGAGGAAUCCAGCUGGCAGACAGAAGCAAGGCCUCUGACCUAUGGCCAGUCAAACCGCCCCAGUCAAAUACAGUCAGUGGGGCCACUUCAGCUGAGGCUCAGACAGGGCGGAGCAGAACUAAAUUGUUCCUGCCUUGCUCUGCCCGAAUACCUGACUUACAGAAUUGAGACACAACCACCGAUUCUUGAGCGGGCCAUGACUCGAGGAUCUCCCGAAUUCCCACAGCAGAAAUUCCAGGGGCUGCCGGCAGAAAGCCUGACGUUCCUCAUGAACACGGCUUUAAUAGGGAUGGGAGCGCCCCGUCCUGACCGCUCCUGGCCUCUGAGAAACCAUCUGCGGCCCUGACAGGCUGAAGAAGAGAGUGUGGAAGCAGGACCAUUUCACUAUGGCCAGUGAAUAGGAUGGAAAGUGGACUGGUUAGUCCGGUGCACGGAAUUACAAGUCCUGCCACGGGCAAACUAGGACUUUGAAAGGCGUUGGGGGGUCAGACCUGGACUUGAAUGCUUGCCCCUCGACUUGUUAGCUGCAUGACCUUGGGCAAGUUAUUUAACCUCUCUGAGUCUUACCUUCUCAUUUGUACCAUGAGGAGAGAAACCUCCCGUGUCACAGGGCUGUUGGGAGGAUGAAAUGAGAUACUGCUCGGGGAACACGCGGCAGAGCCAGCACUACACGCCCCCUAGUUGCUGCACUGGUCAGUGUUAGCCUCUCGGUGAGCGGGGCCAGAGGCCCAGGGAGCAGAGCAGCUUGCCAGCGCACAGAGGCUGGCUGGGCUGGUCAGGACGGGGACUCUACUGGUGUCCUCUGCACGGGGCAAUGGGGAUGGGGGUGUAUUUACACACCGUGAAGCACUUUACGGCUUUCCUUCUUGACCUAGUUUCUCGAGCAAGUUUCCCAGAAGCCUUUGGAACAGCUUCUGAGGAGCAGCCUUCACCAGUUCCCUAGGGGCGCUGAGCUCAGAGCCACCCGUCCCUCCAGGCCCCUGCUCCCGACAGUCUCCAAUUGGUGAUCCAUUUCGAUCUCCUCUACCCGUUUCCAUAAUUUCUAUUCAAUCUGGUCUUAGGAGAGCGCUUUGAGAGGGUAUUCUGGAGACCCACCAUAAAUGACAUCCCAGCCAUGGUCCACCAAGGCCGGGGCACAAAAACCCGGGGGCCAGCUGUCCUCCUGCCCAGAGACGACGGGGUGAGCUCCGAGGCCUGUGGAAAGCAGACGAAGAGGCCGCCAGCAAGGGCCCCGCCUCACUCUCCUUCCCUGAGGCUCAGUGACCCGCUCCUGACUGCACCAGGUUCAAGGGUCAGCUGUUGAGAAGCAGCCCUGGGUUCCUAGGAAAUGCAGUUCUGAUGGGGACUGCCAACUUUAGGGACCAGCUCUCACCAUCCCACCGAGAACAUUUCUAACCUAUUAGCUUUUAAAGACAGUUAGAGAGCUCCAAGGCUACGGAAAACUGAAUGCAUACACAGAAUCGGUCCCCGUUUUUGAGGGGAGAUGGAGAUUUUGCAGCUAACAAAAGACAAGGGGGCUUUUCUGCGUUUUUGCUUGGACCCCAGAACUUCACCAUAGACCGAGGGGAUGCUGUCCCCCUCAGGGGCCGGGGAGGCACAGGCGGGACUUCAGGCCAGUCACUAACAUCUGUUCUCUUCGCUCCCUCGUGACCCCCGUGGUUGCUGGUGACUACAGAAGCAUACUCCUGCUCCACCCCAGAUGAGUACCUACUACGUGCUGGUGCUGAGCCAGGCAUGCGGACAUAGACGCCUCAGGCAUAGGCUGUGCCCUCAAAGAGCUCCAAGUUGACAUUGAAGGUGCUCUCUGAACCAGCCAUACUUAACCACACGGCCCUGCAACAAUACUGCUUUCUUGCUUGCUCCCUGCCUCCUCCACCCCAAGGUCACGCCCAGGAUUAGCACAGAGCGUGGGGGCUGGCAACGUCUCCAGGCAGAGCUGAGGCAGGGGGACCACGCAUCCAGAACCUUGAGUAUCAGGGCCAACAUGGCCGACCGGCCUGGGGGGCGGGGGAAGGGGUGGCGGGAGGGACAAGAUCACCUUCCUUCCGUGUGUCCUGGAAGAGAAGGACCGACAACCGUCCAGGGAAGGCAGACUACGUCUGCAUCUCCAUCCACGACUGCCCUGAACCACAGAUCUGUCUGCUUCAAUCGCAGGGUCCGCAGCCGCACACAGUGGCCAAGCCACAGACCGUCCUGAGUCUCUCAGGCUCAGAGGGGCCGCAGACAUAUGAAGGACAAGACACGGUUCUUCCUCAGAGAGCUUCCUCUAAGUCUGUUUGAGAAGAAAAAGGCAAAAUAGGUCACAAAGAACGAGAACACGACAUGUGUGUGCAAUGGGUUUUACGGGCAGUGAAGGCCCAGAAGUGCGGGCUGGGAGUUACUGCAGGUCCCCAGAGUCCCAGGAAGGCUUCAGGGAAGAGGGGGGCUCUGGGCCGGCCUGGAGGAUGGGCAGAAUUUGGAGUGGCAGGGGCUGCCUUCCAGGGGGAACUGGCCGUGAGCAAUGAGCACGGUGCUCAGAACACAGUUCGCUCAUCACUCCCCUCGUAAAGAAAAGGGCUCAACCACCACGUUCCCUUCUCUCUCACUGCUGUAAUCACAAGAGGAAACAGCCAGAGGCCGGCGUGUUCGUGCACAGAGCUUUGCUUCUCAGAAGUGGGGAUUGUGACACUCUCAUUUCCUGUGGUGUCAUCACAGCGUGAGGCCAGGCCGAGGACAGACUGUCAACACCACCGCUCAGCCCUCCUGCCAGAGCCGACCAGUGGGGGCUGGCCCGGGACUGCUGCCCCCAAAGGCCAGGAUCCGGAGGCUGCAUGCCGAUGAAGACACCCCUUUGGGAACCCACAGACUCUAAGCCCACACCUCGCUCCACCGGAAGGAUACACGUGGCCAGACAUGUGGGCCAAAUUCUGGCAGAAUAUCAAAGAAUUCAUACAGCAGAGGAAAUCUCUGAAUAUUCUGAGUAAGGGAAAAUUUCCACCCAUCUCCUGAUACUAGAGAGACUCCCCAUGAAUGGCCCCAGGGCAGGAAAAUCCUCUGAGGACAUCAUGGGGGAGGCCCCGGUACAGACGAAGGUGACCCCACCGCAGAGCUCGACCUCUGGGGUGUCACGAGGAGGAGCUGACAGCCCCAGGGAGGGGAGCGAGAGGGCCUGAACCUCACUGACAGCACAUGAGCUGUUCUGGAGCCGAGUCUUUCAGGCGUAAUGAAUUGGGGGUGGCGAUCCUUUGAGGAGAAAUCAGUCCUUAUUCAUCACUGGAAGAUUCCGAGCGGAGAGAGGGCCAGUGUCGUCCCGAAUGAGGGACCUGUUGCAGGUGCUCAACCUCACCAGACACAGGCGACCACGGGGGGCCUGAGGGGGACUGUCAGAGGGGCCUCAGAGCACGUGUGACAGGACACGUUCCCACAGGAGACAGACACCACGAAGGGGCGAAUCUAGAAAGCACUUUUGUUGAAACUUGUACUUUUAGUACAAGUCACGGGAAGACAGACUGUGGCUGCGGGGAUCGCAGACACCCUGUAGGAGAGUCUGCUCCGUGACACAGUCGUGCACAUGUAACCCUUGGGGUCCACCCACAGGGGCACCUAAUGCUGUGCAGAAGAGAAGGGCCUGGGCUCCGCUGACGUUGGUGGUCUCCUAUUCCCCAGGGCCGCAGUGUUUCCUCGUCGUCCGUCCUCCUUCCCCCUCUUUCUUCAGUAAAGUCUCGGCCUUGUGUCUUCACAUGUGCCCAACCUGCCACGGGAGUCGUCCAAUGGCAGGAGGCCCCUGCCCAUCAACGGGCUGGCGACCACUUUACACGUCUGACCACUGGCAAACACGCCGCAGGGGAGGGCGCGGUGACUGGUUCAUUCAUUCAACAAGUGUCUUCUCAGCUUCUACUCUGCUCUGUAGCUGGCAUUAACAUUUGUGCUGGGGAUAAGGGACAGGGAGGAAGGAGGUGUCAGCAACAAGUGGCUUGGACAACCUCGGGGAAGAGAGAGGGGAACAGGAAGACAGUGGCACCUUUUGGACUGCAGGGGUGUCUGUGUCCCAAGGCUUCGGAGGGGGCGUAGGAGAGAGCGCGGGGAAGGGAGGGAGAAAGAACGCGGGCGUAAUGGCUGUUCACCACAUGUCGAGCUGGCCCGGGGUUUCUCAGAGCAAUGGCCUGGGACCUGUUAUCUCCACUUUGUAAAUAAAGAAAAUAAGGUGCGCGCACAGCUAUUAAGUGGCAGAGUACUUGAAGCUCAGUCCAUCUCGCUCCAAACCCCACUGUCUGCCCCACACAAGGGAGGGAACCGGGCCAUUAGUGUGCGAUUCCUCGGGCUGUUUCCAGAGUUGUAGGGACAAUGAGAGGCACCUGGCGAACUGGGAGGGCAAGGGGACAGAAGGAGAGAAGGGGACGGCUUUCGGAGACUCUACUUCAGGGACCAGGGAAAGGCACACUCCUUCAUUCCGCAUUCACUCAUUCAUGCGCCCAUUUAGCAAAUCUUCAUUGAGCGCUGCGGAGCGCCGGGCAGGGUGCGUCAGUGCUGGGGACGCGAGUAAGACUGACACGGUCCCUGCCCUCCUGGAACUUCCACUCUAGAAGGAGGCAGACAACCCAGCAUGCUACGAGUUCUGAAAGGGGAAGUACUGGGCCCCAGGAAGCAGAGAAGAGAAUCCCGUAUCCCAGACUCGCGGGGUUGGGAGCGACUCCCGGGAAGAAGCAGCGUGUCACCUAAGCCCUGGAACAGCAGGCAUCUGCCUGGGGCGGGCUGGGGGGCGCCUUCCCGAGAGCAACACGCGGGAGGGUCAGCUGGUGAGGGAACAGAGUGAACGGAGCCGGAAGAUGGCCAGUGUAGUGAACCAAGAAGGUUUCCCGGGGCGGCAGGGAGCAGAAUGAGCAAUAAAGCGAGGAGCGGCCACGGUGGCUUCCAGGGGAGCUGCCCGUUCCUGGACCCGAGGAGAAAACUGGGACAGACGUGCAUGAGCAGACACCCCCCUCUGGUGGCCGAAAGAGGUCCUGCUCCUGAGGCCGCCAGGGCGGGGUCCACAAGACACAGGCCGGUUCCCACCUUCUCUUGGUUCCCAUUCUCGGCUCCCAGGUGAAAGGAAGUCGGGCUGCAGGGAGGUUCCCUACCUCUUUUUUUAGGUUUUAGAGAAACCUGAAAAAUGGAGAAAAUGUAUAUAUAUGCUUAGGAAAAAAUGCUAGAAAGACACUCCAUGUUACCCGUGAUUCUGGAAUAGGUGACUAGAUUUUUUUCAUUUUGUUUACAUGUAUUUUAAAAGUGUCUGUUAUGGACAUGCAUUACGCUUGUUGAGAAGAGAAAAAAUGUAUUAUGUUUCUUACAAAAGAGCAGAAGUGACAGAAAAGUGGCCUAAGAAGGGACUAAGGUGGAGGCCAGGUGGCUGAUGUGGGAGCUGAGUGGCCUGGUGACGAGUGGCUGAGCGGGCCAGCUCCCUUGCCCUUCGGCACCUGGGGAGCACACACCUGGUGGUGAUGAAGCCACGCAGAGAAGGCCUGUGUUUGGGGACCGUGUCUAGCUGUGUCCUUCGUGCCCCUCAGCUCACACACACCAGCUUCCCUGCUCAGGGCCAUGGUGGUCCCGCCUCUCUCCUUUUCUCAUCAAAGUAACAGCUUCCUGACCUGUCACCGCUCACACCUGAGGCUUCUCUUCCGCGUGGGCUCCGAUGCUGAACGAGGGCUGUGUCUGCUCGACCACAGCCACACGUGUGACAUCACUGUGGCCUUUGCCCGGACGUCUUUUCUAAUCUGGAACCAGGAGCUCACCUGGCCUGCAGGCUUGUCACUUGUCACCUUCAUGGCUUGUCUCUUCUCUCUCCUGCUUGAAACUCCUCUCUUGGGCAGGAUGGCUGCUCAGCCUGCUCUCUGGGAGGUUCCCUGAGGCAGCCCAAGGGCCUGGAACAUUCUGCGGGCCUCCCAGCUCUGGCGCCUGCAGAGCUUCCCUGGAGUCUGCUUGAGUCACUGGGGAGGCCUUCCUUCAGCAAGUUCCUGAUCUGAGCUGAAGCCGUCCUCAGUCCUGAGGUCACCAUCGGAACCCAGACGGAGAGAAUCCAAAUAUUAUUGCUGUGCAAAGGUGGCUGUGGAGAUAAAACCCCUGCCGAUCACAGGGGACCCAUGACAUGAACGGCGGCAUGUGACACCACGAUGAAAAAUGAGGCUGUAAAAGAAUUUCAUGAUCAUAUAUAUUUCUACAGUAGCUUAUAAAAUAGUAUAUAUACGGUGAGAUUAUGAGUUACUUCCAUUUUCCUUUCAGGCAUAUUUGUAUUUUCCCAAUGUUCUGUCACAAACAUGUAUUCCUUUUAUAUUAACGAAAACCUGUCAAAUUAUUAUUUUACAAAUCUGGGGAGAGGAGGAGGAAAAAGCUUGGUAGUGGGGUGACAGGAGGGGAAGUCUAAGGAAGCUUCUGGGAGAAUGACUUGGCCACACAGGAAGAGGGCGCGGUGGGCAGGUGGUUGAGGACACUGUCCCAGGGGGGCCAAGGCUGUGACCUCAGCAGAGUGGAGUCCUUGGGUGUCCCCUGGAGGGCGGCAGGGGAUAGAGGUUGAAGUAGCUGCAGAAAGGGUAAAAGGAAGGAGCGGAGGCCGAGGGAUGAACGCUGGCUUUGUGGGUGCGGUCCCGUGUUGGACAAAGACUCAUAGAUGUCAUAAACGGUAAUAAAAAAUAACUUUUACAUGGGGGCACGUUGUAGCUUACAAAGUACGUUCUCAUCUAUUAUUUUAUUUGACGCUUACAGAUGAGGAAACUGAGGCUCAGAGAAGUUCAAGGACUUGCCCCAAAUGGCACAGCUAGUACGCAGCGGAGGCAGGACCCCAAUCCAGUUGGUUCCAGUGCCCGUCUCGCUGCUCUGUGCUGCUCAGCUGUCCCUCACGAGCACGGGCCACAAGGCAGGGGCCAAGGAGCAUGUUACAAACACUUAACUCGUAGGGCCCAGACUGACUGAUUAGAACAGAUGCUGGUCUCACCUGGAGACCUCUGGUGGGACCUGGUGAUAACCAUUAAAGGGUGGACCCUGGGAAGGUCUUGAGGAUCGGGGGCAUCACCGGGUGGCCAAAGGGCUGGCAGGGCACUCAGGGACAGAGCGGCAGCUGCUUACCAACCAGUCUAGAAGCGUUUCAAUACUUUCACAACCCGUCCAUCCGUGCUGGUGGCACCAGAUGAAUGUCAUCCCUGCCUUGGCCUCCCCGCCUUCUGUGUCCCAUGGAUCCCAACAGUGACAGGAGAUGCUAGAAGUUGUGAGUGUGUCACUUAUUUCGGGGAGCUCUUCAGUCAAACUACACUCCCAAGAGAAGGGACCUGAUGCUCCCCGACUAGGUGUCCACGGACACGUCCAAAUCUGGGAGGUCAACUCUUGGCCCCCGGUGCUCACGCAAGGCCAGGCUGGCACUGCUGAUCUAAAACAGCACCCCCUAGUAGGGGAUAUUUGGCUUUGCAAGGAGCGUUACAGUCCUGUUACAAAGGAAGGUACUGAGUUCUGAGAAUUUACAGCAACAGAAACAGCGAUGGAACCACUCCUCUCUGAGGGAGAGACAGCGGCGCGUCCAGCCCCUCCACCCUGCCGGCUGCCCCCUCCCGCUGGGGAGAUGCCUCAUUGAGCCUGUUCUCCUGAUUCCCAACUGCCUGCCUUGCCCUGGAGCAGGGCCCCUCCAUAGACCCAACAAGGUGACUUGAUCUCCUGGGUUCCCUCCAAACGCUGAGUACAGACUACAUGGAGGGAAGAAGACAAGAUCAUCUCAUUGUCAAGAAAGGUCUCUGUGAGCCACACCAUGGAGCGUGGUUUGGCCAAAAAGCUACCACACCACAGGGACGCUCAGCUCUGGCAGGGGCCCCUGUGGAUGACUGAGACGACGGAGGGGUUCCAUUCUGUUUCUUGUCCUCCAAUGACCUCAGUACCUCUCUGCAUUCCACACUUAUGGUCUCAUGCUAGUUCAAUGAUCACACUCGGCUCCCAGCACAGAUCUGUAAGCUGUGAUGUUCUGUCCUGCUUUUCAGCACAGGAGGACCCAGGAAGAAGGAACGAGGACCCCAAUCUCUUCCCCAGGGGAAGCUGCCUCUUACCACUGGCUUGGAGGGGGUGGAGCUCCCAAGAUCUGCGUUUGAACUGGGUGUCACUGGCUGAAGCUGGCGACGCGUGGUGGUUCUUGUGCCGACGCGUGGUGGUUCUUGUGCCGGUGGUGGAGAUGCCCUCUGCCCCCAGGAAACUUCCGGUCCUGAAGAGAAUUAAGAAAAUUGGGAGCUUUAAAGGAAAUAAGGAAAUUACUUGCUUUUUUUCUUUUUAGAAGAUGUCUUGUUAGACUUUUCCCUCCAGCAUAUUUCUUUAAAAAUUAUUCUUUUCUGAUUAUGGAGCAACAUCAGUUCAUUGCAAAAAAUAAACAUUACAUAUUUAAUAAAAA
rnacentral:lncRNA from 1 species